UCUGGAACAACAUCCUAUGGACAGAUGAGACCAAGAUUUACUUGUACCAGAGUGAUGGGAAGAGAAGAGUAUGGAGAAGGAAAGGAACUGCUCAUGAUCCAAAGCAUACCACCUCAUCAGUGAAGCAUGGUGGUGGUAUUGUCAUGGCAUGGGAAGGCCGGACUGGCCCACCGGAAUACUGGGAAAUUUCCGGUCCGGUGGCACUCAGAGGGGGCCGGUCGUGUUCCAGGCUGGAGCCGCCGGGCCGGGUGGCAGCUUCGCCGGUCCGGCGGCAUUCCUGUCACUGCUGUUGCUGAUGGCUGAAGGAGGAG